rnacentral:rRNA from 1 species
AUGAACGCUGGCGGCGUGCCUAAUACCUGCAAGUCGAGCGAACAGACGAGGAGCUUGCUCCUCUGACGUUAGCGGCGGACGGGAGAGUAACACGUGGAUAACCUACCUAUAAGACUGGGAUAACUUCGGGAAACCGGAGCUAAUACCGGAUAAUAUAUUGAACCGCAUGGUUCCAUAGUGAAAGCCGGUUUUGCUGUCACUUAUAGAUGGAUCCGCGCCGCAUUAGCUAGUUGGUAAGGUAACGGCUUACCAAGGCAACGAUGCGUAGCCGACCUGAGAGGGUGAUCGGCCACACUGGAACUGAGACACGGUCCAGACUCCUACGGGAGGCAGCAGUAGGGAAUCUUCCGCAAUGGGCGAAAGCCUGACGGAGCAACGCCGCGUGAGUGAUGAAGGUCUUCGGAUCGUAAAACUCUGUUAUUAGGGAAGAACAAAUGUGUAAGUAACUAUGCACGUCUUGACGGUACCUAAUCAGAAAGCCACGGCUAACUACGUG